rnacentral:rRNA from 1 species
UGAGGAAUAUUGGUCAAUGGGCGAGAGCCUGAACCAGCCAAGUAGCGUGCAGGAUGACGGCCCUAUGGGUUGUAAACUGCUUUUAUGUGGGGAUAAAGUGCGUGACGUGUCAUGCAUUGCAGGUACCACAUGAAUAAGGACCGGCUAAUUCCGUGCCAGCAGCCGCGGUAAUACGGAAGGUCCGGGCGUUAUCCGGAUUUAUUGGGUUUAAAGGGAGCGUAGGCUGUCUAUUAAGCGUGUUGUGAAAUUUACCGGCUCAACCGGUGGCUUGCAGCGCGAACUGGUCGACUUGAGUAUGCAGGAAGUAGGCGGAAUUCAUGGUGUAGCGGUGAAAUGCUUAGAUAUCAUGACGAACUCCGAUUGCGCAGGCAGCUUACUGUCGCAUAACUGACGCUGAUGCUCGAAAGUGCGGGUAUCAAACAGG